ACGGAAGGCAGCAGUGGGGAAUAUUGCACAAUGGGGGAAACCCUGAUGCAGCGACGCCGCGUGAGUGAAGAAGUAUUUCGGUAUGUAAAGCUCUAUCAGCAGGAAAGAAAAUGACGGUACCUGACUAAGAAGCCCCGGCUAACUACGUGCCAGCAGCCGCGGUAAUACGUAGGGGGCAAGCGUUAUCCGGAUUUACUGGGUGUAAAGGGAGCGUAGACGGCUUUGCAAGUCUGAAGUGAAAGCCCGGGGCUCAACCCCGGAACUGCUUUGGAAACUGUAGAGCUAGAGUGCAGGAGAGGUAAGUGGAAUUCCUAGUGCAGCGGUGAAAUGCGUAGAUAUUAGGAGGAACACCAGUGGCGAAGGCGGCUUACUGGACUGUAACUGACGUUGAGGCUCGAAGGCGUGGGGAGCAAACAGGAUUAGAUACCCUGGUA
rnacentral:rRNA from 1 species